CCUACGGGGGGCUGCAGUGAGGAAUAUUGGUCAAUGGGAGAGAUCCUGAACCAGCCAAGCCGCGUGAGGGAAGAAGGCCCUAUGGGUUGUAAACCUCUUUUGUCGGGGAACAAAACCCGGGACGAGUCUCGGACUGCGUGUAUCCGAAGAAAAAGCAUCGGCUAACUCCGUGCCAGCAGCCGCGGUAAUACGGAGGAUGCGAGCGUUAUCCGGAUUUAUUGGGUUUAAAGGGUGCGUAGGCGGUCUGUUAAGUCAGCGGUAAAAUUGCGGGGCUCAACCCCGGCGAGCCGUUGAAACUGGCAGGCUGGAGUUGGCGAGAGGUACGCGGAAUGCGCGGUGUAGCGGUGAAAUGCAUAGAUAUCGCGCAGAACUCCGAUUGCGAAGGCAGCGUACCGGCGCCAAACUGACGCUGAGGCACGAAAGCGUGGGGAUCGAACAGGAUUAGAUACCCUUGUAGUC
rnacentral:rRNA from 1 species